rnacentral:rRNA from 1 species
CGUCUAUAUACGUAUAGCAUAUCAAUAAGCGGAGGAAAAGAAACUAACUAGGAUUCCCUCAGUAACGGCGAGUGAAGCGGGAAGAGCUCAAAUUUGAAAUCUUCAAGGUUUUACCUUGACGAAUUGUAGUUUAAAGAAGUGUUUUCUGUUGGAGUUUUGGUAAAAGUUCUUUGGAAUAGGACAUCAUAGAGGGUGAGAAUCCCGUAUUUGACCAUUAUCUCCAGCGUUGUGAUACACUUUCAAAGAGUCGGAUUGUUUGGGAAUGCAGUCCAAAAUGGGUGGUAAAUUUCAUCUAAAGCUAAAUACUGGCGAGAGACCGAUAGCGAACAAGUACCGUGAGGGAAAGAUGAAAAGAACUUUGAAAAGAGAGUUAAACAGUACGUGAAAUUGUCAAAAGGGAAGCGUUUGACACCAGUGUUGUUUUUCCGAAAAUCAAUUACGAAUGGCUUGAUUUUGUGUUGUAUUGACCUUAUCAGCUUUCUUCACUUUUUUCGAGUCUUUCUUAAUGCACUUUUCGGUUAACAAGUCAACAUCAAUUUCUUUUGUUGUAAAAGAGUAUUCGGAAGGUGGCUUUCUUUUCGGAGAAAGUGUUUAUAGCCCUAUACUUCUACAAUCGGAGAGAUUGAGGUCUGCAGCGUAGAUCCUUCGGGGUUAGAUACAUUUGUGCUAAGUUGUAGCUUUUCAUAGACAACUUGUUGACUAUGUUUAGUCAUGCGGCUUACUCGCUUAUGCUAUUUUACCUACGCUUAGGAUGUUGACUGAUAUGUAGUCGUA